rnacentral:pre_miRNA from 1 species
GGGGAGAAUCUGUAAAGCUCAGGAGGGAUAGCGCCGUCUCGAUCGAGGGGUUUUAAUAUAUCAUCGAUCGAUCGAUGGCGCUAUCUAUCCUGAGUUUCAUGGCUUUUUCCU